AACGAACGCUGGCGGCAGGCUUAACACAUGCAAGUCGAGCGCCCCGCAAGGGGAGCGGCAGACGGGUGAGUAACGCGUGGGAACGUACCUUUUGGUUCGGAACAACUCCGGGAAACUGGAGCUAAUACCGGAUAAGCCCUAACGGGGAAAGAUUUAUCGCCGAAAGAUCGGCCCGCGUCUGAUUAGCUAGUUGGUGAGGUAACGGCUCACCAAGGCGACGAUCAGUAGCUGGUCUGAGAGGAUGAUCAGCCACACUGGGACUGAGACACGGCCCAGACUCCUACGGGAGGCAGCAGUGGGGAAUAUUGGACAAUGGGAGCAAGCCUGAUCCAGCCAUGCCGCGUGAGUGAUGAAGGCCUUAGGGUUGUAAAGCUCUUUUGUCCGGGAAGAUAAUGACUGUACCGGAAGAAUAAGCCCCGGCUAACUUCGUG
rnacentral:rRNA from 1 species